UUCCGUAGGUGAACCUGCGGAAGGAUCAUUUACACGAUAAAUAUAUCCACUUCAAAACCUGAAUCAUACUGUGAGAUCAUGAAAGCUGUAAAGCUGAAUUGUUCUCGUGGGCAACUGGGAGCGAUUGCAUUUCGCAUGCGGUCGUAACUGGAUGUCAUGUGAUAACCGCACACCAAACUUUUCUAGAAUUGUUUUUUGUGUUUGUGGAUUUUCUGAUCCUAUCACAACUAUCAGCGAUGGAUGCCUCGGCUCGAGUAACGAUGAAGGACGCAGCAAAAUGCGAUAAGCGCCGUGAAUGGCAGAAUUCCGAGAAUCAAGAGAAUGCUGAACGCAUACUGCACUUCCAGGUUAUUCCUGGGAGUAUGUCUACUUCAGGACGAUAACGCUAAAAUGCUUCCAAAGGUAUUAGAAGACAUUCGUCGACUUUCCUGCGGAACGCGUCGUUGUGUGUCAGUGUCCAGGACUGCUAGUCCCAUUGACGCAUGAAAUUUACGUUUUUUUUCAAAUCAUUUUUAAGCUUUCGCUUAGCGUUGCUUUGCUUCCUUAGCGGUAAGUGUAAAGAUUUGAAUGAUUGCGCAAAAGCUCUCAGGGAUUAAUUUCUCGAAUUGUUGCUUUUCGUAUGAAGUUAGACAAGGCUACCCGCUGAAUUUAAGCAUAUC
rnacentral:rRNA from 1 species